UACGUAGGUGACAAGCGUUAUCCGGAAUUACUGGGCGUAAAGCGCACGCAGGCGGCCGAGUAAGUCUGACGUGAAAUCUCCCGGCUUAACCGGGAGCGGUCGUUGGAAACUACUUGGCUUGAGGCGAUGAGAGGGGUGUGGAAUUCCCGGUGUAGUGGUGGAAUGCGUAGAUAUCGGGAGGAACAUCAGUGGCGAAAGCGGCACCUCGGCAUUAGCCUGACGCUCAGGUGCGAAAGCGUGGGGAGCGAACGGGG
rnacentral:rRNA from 1 species